AAACUGGCCCUGAGAUGUUCUUCUGGAGGAAGCAGGGAAAGGAACGAGCAAUUAAACACGCCUUGAAGACUUCCCAGAGAGUGGGGCCACACCUGCUACUACACCUUGGAAGCCACUCACUUCCUAGCCCCCAUCUCUUACCUCAAAAAGGUGCUGAAGAACAUAUCCCAGUCCUCGAACGCUAAAGAUCUGGAUGAGAGGAUACGGCUGAAUCAUCCAUUCCAGGAGAACCUCGAGAAUGUCUUGCGUCAUAAAGAUGUUUCCAACUUCCGGUGAUACAGCAGCUGACGAAGAAGAGUAGAGAUAUGGAGCAUUAGCCAAGCCAAGGACGGGAACUUCCCUGAGAGCCUCUACUAAGAGAUGCCACUUUCAGCCAUUACAG